GUUCCUCCAAGAGAAGUAACGGGAUGGUCUGUGACAGCCCAGUGCCGAGCCUCGCGGGAGCCAGACGCUCCCAGGACCCAACCUGGGUGCCCUCGGCCCCGCCUCCGCUGGACCCCGGGGCAGAGGCAGCUGGGCCCCACGCUUUCCCCAUCCCCAUCCCGCCUGACAGCAGAUCCUAAGUGGAGGCCCAGGCCUCCGGGUCACAGGUCUGGGGGACACCGAGGCCUCGCCUGUGACCUUAUCCUGGGGCCAGGCUACCAGCCAGCUGCGCGAACAAGCUCUUGCGGCAGGGGGCAGGGCUAAGCACGCUGUGCCCAAGGCUGAGCGCCACCCUGGCAGGGGCCUCACUCCUCAGGUCUCUCCUGUGGCCCUCAGGGGACAAGGACGCUCUUUCCACUCAGCCAGGGAGUGCCCUGGCUGCUCUGCCCCUCUCCCCACAGGACCCCUUAACCUAGGGCCUCUCACACCUACAGGUGGCCAGGAACCCAGUGGGCCUCAGAAUGUGCAUUUGUACCGGGUUCCCAAGGCAUGCGGGGCCACGGGGCUGGGACCACAGAGGCUGACUGGCGGGAUCCGGGCUGAACUCCAGAGGGGAGGGCCUCUGCCCCCCGGAACCCUGGGAUGGAAGCAGCAUUUUGGAGGCUGAUUCCCAAGGAGUUUAGGAUGGGCUGACUGGGUCAGACCCUCAUCGUAAGCCAAGGAGCACCUGUGGUUGCAAGAUGGCUGCUUCCCAGGGAAGAAGUGGCUGUAAGGCCUGCGAGUGCCCCGCGGAGAGAGGUGACAGGCUUCUGGCAGGCUGCCAUGGAACAGCAUGACAUAUUAGCCAGCACUGUGAGUCCCAGCAAAGAAAGUCACCCUCCACCUGGCUGUCCACUGUGGUAAGAUGUCCACCUCAUCCUUUAUAGCUAUGUGCUCCCACCUGGCACUACAAUUCUGGGACUUUUAUUAUCUCCACUAGCCACAGGAGCCCAGCUCUUUAGCACCCUCCCCCACCUUCGACUCUGGGCUACCAGGAUGGUCAUUGUAAAGUCCUCAGAAAGCCUCCUCCUAAAUGCAUUCUUUCUUGCCUUAGUGAAGGCAGUGUCCUGGGAAGGUUUAAGGAACUAGUUAGUGGGUUCUAGAACCCUACAGAAUAAACCCUUUUAAUAUUUCAGAUCAAGUCUUCUGCAGUUUUUCAGCCCAAUGCAAAAACUCUGGCUCCUCUACCUUGCUUGUGGCCAUUGUUAAGACCAGGAUUCAAACUACCAUCUUGGCCAACAUUUAGAACGAGCCCUGGGCAUUCUUGCUAACACAUUAAACCCUGAAUUCUGCAUGAGUACUCCCUAAUCAGUGAGUCCUCCCAGCUGAGCUUUCUGCCCCACUGCACUCCCUGCUCACUAUGUAACAUCCUCAGGGGCCCUCCCACACCUGUCCACAGCUCCUGCCUGCGCUCACUAGCCAAGGCCCCCAUACCUUUGGCACGUGUGUCUUUCCUCUCUGCAGCAGGACUUUUGCUCCCCUAUAUAGGCUGUGCCGCAACCCGACUCUGGGCAAUGAUAGAGGGGAUCAGUGGGCAGGCCAGGUCAUAAGG
ensembl:lncRNA